AACUGUGGCUAAUACCGGAUAUGCCGAGAGGUGAAAGGCUUGCUGCCUAAAGAUGAGCUCGCGUCUGAUUAGCUAGUAGGUGUGGUAAGAGCGCACCUAGGCGACGAUCAGUAGCUGGUCUGAGAGGAUGAUCAGCCACACUGGGACUGAGACACGGCCCAGACUCCUACGGGAGGCAGCAGUGGGGAAUUUUCCGCAAUGGGCGAAAGCCUGACGGAGCAAUACCGCGUGAGGGAGGAAGGCUCUUGGGUUGUAAACCUCUUUUCUCAAGGAAGAAAAAAAUGACGGUACUUGAGGAAUAAGCAUCGGCUAACUCCGUGCCAGCAGCCGCGGUAAUACGGAGGAUGC
rnacentral:rRNA from 1 species